rnacentral:sRNA from 1 species
AUAUAAUAUUAUAAACCCGUCCUACCAUCUAAUCCCGUUCGAUAAAAUUAAACAUCUUUUUUAAUAAUACUCUUAUUAAAAUAUUUAUAAUUCAAAUCAAUUUAAACUUUUCUUUCAAAUGAUUAUUU